CGGUAGUUGAUUCAGUCACUCACUCGCACAGUCUCCGCGGCUCUCGCGUCGUCUUUCUGUGGAGGAGUGCAGCGACAGAGAGGAGCAGCGUACACACAUUCUCACUCAACACACACACGAGGUUCUGGAGGAGGAACAAUAAACGCGGAUUUACCGCCGAGGAUUCGAGCUGAAACUCAGCACUUGAGGAGAGGCUCGGCGAGGGACUGUGCGCGAGGAAUACAUGAAGGGUGGGUUGGGGAAGUGGGUUGCCACCACAGCGGCACUACCACUGAGGUCAAAGUUCACACAGACCCGCUCUGUGAUUGAUGAGGAUUAGGAAACGGAUUCUGCAUAAUAGGAAACAGGAACAUCCUCAUCCACACUGGUAAGAAACCUGAUUUAUCACCGACU